rnacentral:rRNA from 1 species
AACGAACGCUGGCGGCAGGCUUAACACAUGCAAGUCGAACGCAUCCUUCGGGGUGAGUGGCAGACGGGUGAGUAACGCGUGGGAACGUGCCCUUCAGUUCGGGAUAACCCAGGGAAACUUGGGCUAAUACCGGAUACGUGCGAGAGCAGAAAGAUUUAUCGCUGAAGGAUCGGCCCGCGUCUGAUUAGCUAGUUGGUGGGGUAAUGGCCCACCAAGGCGACGAUCAGUAGCUGGUCUGAGAGGAUGAUCAGCCACAUUGGGACUGAGACACGGCCCAAACUCCUACGGGAGGCAGCAGUGGGGAAUAUUGGAAAAUGGGCGCAAGCAUGAUCCAGCCAUGCCGCGUGAGUGAUGAAGGCCUUAGGGUUGUAAAGCUCUUUAGUCCGGGACGAUAAUGACGGUACCGGAAGAAGAAGCCCCGGCUAACUUCGUGCCAGCCGCCGCGGUAAGAC